AUUGAACGCUGGCGGCAUGCCUUACACAUGCAAGUCGAACGGCAGCACGGGAGCAAUCCUGGUGGCGAGUGGCGAACGGGUGAGUAAUAUAUCGGAACGUGCCCAGUCGUGGGGGAUAACGCAGCGAAAGCUGUGCUAAUACCGCAUACGAUCUAAGGAUGAAAGCGGGGGAUCGCAAGACCUCGCGCGAUUGGAGCGGCCGAUAUCAGAUUAGCUAGUUGGUGGGGUAAAGGCCCACCAAGGCGACGAUCUGUAGCUGGUCUGAGAGGACGACCAGCCACACUGGAACUGAGACACGGUCCAGACUCCUACGGGAGGCAGCAGUGGGGAAUUUUGGACAAUGGGCGCGAGCCUGAUCCAGCAAUGCCGCGUGCAGGAUGAAGGCCUUCGGGUUGUAAACUGCUUUUGUACGGAACGAAACGGCCCUUUCUAAUACAAGGGGCUAAUGACGGUACCGUAAGAAUAAGCACCGGCUAACUACGUGCCAGCCGCCGCGGUAAGAC
rnacentral:rRNA from 1 species